GUCGACAUGUUCACAGAGCCAAGAACUCUUGAACUCAAAAACCCUAACAAGCACAAAAUCAAGAAAUUGGAAGGGCAAAUCAAACCCAAAUCGAAAUUCAAGCACAUAUUAGUGAUCACCUCAGUAAAAGGGAUCAAAAGUUGACGAUCGACAAGCUAGGUGGAAGCUUGGGGAAAGAAGCCGGUUAAAUGGAAUAAAUACGCCGAAAAAGAGCAUAGCCGGAUGCAAGGUACACUAUGGGAUGCCGGAAGACGAUCAAGCUCAACG